UGCCACUCCCGACCUGAAACUUCUAGA
rnacentral:piRNA from 1 species